rnacentral:rRNA from 1 species
CACCUGAACCCAUUCCGAACUCAGAAG